CUAGACUCCUACGGGAGGCAGCAGUCGGGAAUAUUGCGCAAUGGAGGAAACUCUGACGCAGUGACGCCGCGUAUAGGAAGAAGGUUUUCGGAUUGUAAACUAUUGUCCACAGGGAAGAAAAAAGACUGUACCUGACCAAGAAGCCCCGGCUAACUACGUGCCAGCAGCCGCGGUAAUACGUAGGGGGCAAGCGUUAUCCGGAUUCACUGGGCGUAAAGGGAGCGCAGGCGGCACGGCAAGUCUGAUGUGAAAACCCGGGGCGCAACCCCGGGACUGCAUUGGAAACUGCCGGGCUGGAGUGUCGGAGGGGUAAGCGGAAUUCCUGGUGUAGCGGUGAAAUGCGUAGAUAUCAGGAGGAACACCGGUGGCGAAGGCGGCUUACUGGACGACAACUGACGCUGAGGCUCGAAAGCGUGGGGAGCAAACAGGAUUAGAUACCCGAGUAAA
rnacentral:rRNA from 1 species